rnacentral:rRNA from 1 species
AUUGAACGCUGGCGGCAGGCCUAACACAUGCAAGUCGAACGAGUGGCGGACGGGUGAGUAAUGUCUGGGACACUGCCUGAUGGAGGGGGAUAACUACUGGAAACGGUAGCUAAUACCGCAUACCAUCAGAUGUGCCCAGGUGGGAUUAGCUUGUUGGUGGGGUAACGGCUCACCAAGGCGACGAUCCCUAGCUGGUCUGAGAGGAUGACCAGACACGCUGGAACUGAGACACGGUCCAGAUUCCUACGGGAGGCAGGAGUGGGGAAUCUUGCACAAUGGGUGAAAGCGUGAGGCAGCGAUGCCGCGUGGAUGAAGAAGGCCUUCGGGUUGUAAAGUACUUUCAGCGGGGAGGCGUUACCCGCAGAAGCAGCACCGGCUAACUCCGUGCCAGCAGCCGCGGUAAUAC